UUUAGAGACGAACUAUAGUUAUCAUGCAGCAGUCAAACUGACACGUGGAGUUUCCUGGGAGAAGCAAUGGUUGCCCUCUCCAUUAGUCCUCCAAGGUUCAGGGCUUCAACCUGCCCUAAAAUCUGUUAGAGCAUCAAAGGCAAUGUCUUCCUUGCAGUUCUUUGUAGAAUUGUUGACAGCUUGGAAUUUCUUUGGUCAGAAUCAAUUUGUAGUUAAGGAACAAUUGCUAGUUAGCCGCACGACAAUUCUGCCUACUUGGGACAAAGCCAUAAGUAAAUUGUCAGUGCAGACUGCAAGAACCGACAAUUCAGAGGAUCUU